rnacentral:rRNA from 1 species
UACGUAGGGUCCGAGCGUUGUCCGGAAUUAUUGGGCGUAAAGGGCUCGUAGGCGGUUCGUCACGUCGGGAGUGAAAACUCGGGGCUUAACCCCGAGCCUGCUUCCGAUACGGGCAGACUAGAGGUAGGCAGGGGAGAGCGGAACUCCUGGUGUAGCGGUGGAAUGCGCAGAUAUCAGGAAGAACACCCGUGGCGAAGGCGGUUCUCUGGAACGCAACUGACGCUGAGACGCGAAAGCGUGGGGAGCAAACAGG